GAAGAGCUUUAGCUGUAACAUUUGAUGAUAAUUUGGCCUGUAUGUGUUCGUGGACGGGACAGAAAAAUAAUUUCAAGAUAGGAGAUACUCAUAUUAUGCUAAGUAUAAAAAAAGCGUUUAAGGCAACAUUUCCCCGAAGUACGGAAAAAGAUUUAGAACAAUUGGUGAUGGAGUGGUUUCGUUUUGCAAACGUCCGUAAGCAAAAGAAAGAAAGAAAAGAAAAGU